UACGGGGGGGGCAAGCGUUGUUCGGAAUUACUGGGCGUAAAGGGCUCGUAGGCGGCCAACUAAGUCAGACGUGAAAUCCCUCGGCUUAACCGGGGAACUGCGUCUGAUACUGGAUGGCUUGAGAUUGGGAGAGGGAUGCGGAAUUCCAGGUGUAGCGGUGGAAUGCGCAGAUAUCAGGAGGAACACCAAUAGCGAAGGCAGCUCGCUGGGACGGUAUUGACGCUAAGGCGCGAAAGCGUGGGGAGCAAACAGGG
rnacentral:rRNA from 1 species